rnacentral:rRNA from 1 species
GAGUUUGAUCUUGGCUCAGAUUGAACGCUGGCGGCCAUGGCCUUACACAUGCAAGUCGAACGGCAGCACGGGAGCCUUGCUCCUGGUGGCGAGUGGCGAACGGGUGAGUAAUGCAUCGGAACGUAUCCUGGAGUGGGGGGAUAACGUAGCGAAAGUUACGCUAAUACCGCAUAUUCUGUGAGCAGGAAAGCGGGGGACCUUCGGGCCUCGCGCUCUUGGAGCGGCCGAUGUCGGAUUAGCUAGUUGGUGAGGUAAAGGCUCACCAAGGCGACGAUCCGUAGCAGGUCC